GAUGAACGCUAGCGGCAGGCUUAAUACAUGCAAGUCGUGGGGCAGCAUGAGUGUAGCAAUACAUUUGAUGGCGACCGGCAAACGGGUGCGGAACACGUACACAACCUUCCUAUAAGUGGGGAAUAGCCCAGAGAAAUUUGGAUUAAUACCCCGUAACAUAACGAUGUGGCAUCACAUUGUUAUUAUAGCUUCGGCGCUUAUUGAUGGGUGUGCGGCUGAUUAGAUAGUUGGCGUGGUAACGGCCCACCAAGUCUACGAUCAGUAGCUGAUGUGAGAGCAUGAUCGGCCACACGGGCACUGAGCCACGGGCACGACUCCUACGGGAGGCAGCAGUAAGGAAUAUUGGUCAAUGGACGCAAGUCUGAACCAGCCAUGCCGCGUGAAGGAUUAAGGUCCUCUGGAUUGUAAACUUCUUUUAUCUGGGACGAAAAAAGGCUUUUCUAAGUCACUUGACGGUACCAGAUGAAUAAGCACCGGCUAACUCCGUGCCAGCCGCCGCAGUAACAC
rnacentral:rRNA from 1 species